UUGCAUGAUUAACCGUAUGCGAUAUAGUUAGACUAGAGAUAUUUGAAGUUGGCUCAAACAAGUUGAAGGUGCACUUCACCUGACCAGCUCCUUCUCUUUUUCUGUCCUCUUUUGUAUCUCUUUCUUUCCUCUGUGACAUACCAAAGUGUUAGUGUCACUGCUAUUUAAGUCGUGUGACUGAUGAUUUAUCCCUAGUAUGUGUAAAUACGUAAGGUCAUCAUAUAUGGGUGUAGCCAAGUGACGUGAGAGUGACGUGAAGACGUUGGGUUGCUCACGAAAUGAGACAAUGGUGACAUUAUUCGGACAAGACAACCAGUGUCGAAAAAGCUGAUUUCAUUUUCAAGUCAGGCAAGAAGUUAUUGUAUUUUGUCUUCUGCUUUUUCACCCUGUCUCGUCGAAAAACAACUUGUCCGUUUGACGGUGAUCAAAUCAAGAAUUUGUCAAGCAAGGAAUCUUCGUCUCCAUCCGAUCACUCGAAUUACUCAUCAAACGAGGGACGUCGGCUCUCAUUGGCCGAUUACCUCCUCAUCUUAAAACACGUGGGAAGAAAUCAGGACAUUGAACGUGCUGGACGAAGACGUCUUUCAUUAGCGGAAACCAUACCCGAUUGGCCCGUCCUGGCUAAAGCAGACCCCAUAGAG